UCGGGUGACAGGGAGACAGGUGGUGCAUGGUUGUCGUCAGCUCGUGUCGUGAGGAUGUUGGGUUAAGUCCCGCAACGAGCGCAACCCCUACGUUUAGUUUGCUAACAGGUGAAGCUGAGCACUCUAGACGAACUGCCGUUGACAAAACGGAGGAAGUGGGGAUGACGUCAAAUCAUCAUGCCCCUUAUGUUCUGGGCUACACACGUGCUACAAUGGCCGGUACAGACGGAGGCGAAGCCGCGAGGCGGAGCAAAUCCGAAAAAGCCGGUCUCAGUUCGGAUUGCAGGCUGCAAUUCGCCUGCAUGAAGUCGGAAUCGCUAGUAAUCGCAGGUCAGCAUGCCGCGGUGAAUACGUUCCCGGGCCUU
rnacentral:rRNA from 1 species